UUAUUUAUUUACUAUUUUUUUAACUCGUAAGUUCAGGGGUAGAAGUCUGAGUUUGUUACGUAAGUAAACGUGUCAUAGAGCUAGCUUGUCUUUCUGCCUUCCACCAUGUGAGGACAGGUGUUCCUCUCUUCCAGAUGAUGCAGCCCUCAUCACACAAAUGCAGCUACCAGUAAUAUCUUGAUCUUGGACUUCUCAGCUUCCAAAACUAGUUCCCACUGCUGUGUCUAUAAACAAGAUAGUAUAGCUAUCACAGAAUGAGGAUGAUAAAAGUGUGAUCAAGACACUCAGAUGAAGGAAUGAGGAAAAGGAGAGGAUUCACAGAAGACAUGUCCUUUUGACCGGUGGCACCUGUCUCACGAAAAGUUUGGUCAAAGUCGGGUCAAAGCUUAGGGUGAAGCCAACAAGCACAAACAUAGAGCCAGAAGAUAGAAAAGGUUUCCAGAAGACAUCGUUUCAGCACCUGGAUCCAGCUUCACCUUAACCCUGAAGAUCUGCUUUUGAACAUUUCAAUUACUUGAAGCAAAACAUUCCUGUUUCCUUUGCUUCCAUAAAUCUAUGAAAUGAGUUUCUAUCACUUGCCACAAAAAGAGUUCAAUUAUGCAUUGGCACAGUGUUCCUCAAAGGCAUUCCCCUUGUUGAUGAUGUGAAUCAGAAUAAUUCUGGGUUCUUUAAAGCUUGCAUGUCUUUGUGGUCACCCUGUCUUACUUACUGAAUCAGAAUUUUGGGAAAAUGAGGACUGCCAACAGACACGAGUUAUCAUUCAAACGUCUCUAGUAGUCACUGAUCUGGAAUCUGUUUGCUCCUCUUCAUUUUCUUGAACCACCAGGACCCCAAAUUUUACUUCCACGCCUCAUUCAAAUUAAUUUCAUGAUUCU
rnacentral:lncRNA from 13 species